rnacentral:rRNA from 1 species
CCUACGGGAGGCAGCAGUAGGGAAUUUUGCGCAAUGGGCGAAAGCCUGACGCAGCAACGCCGCGUGAUUGAUUAAGCCCUUCGGGGUGUAAAGCUCUGUCAGUGGGGACGAAACUUGACGUAACUCAGAGAGGAAGCACCGGCUAACUCCGUGCCGGCAGCCGCGGUAAUACGGAGGGGGCAAGCGUUUUCCGGAUUAAUGGGGAGUAAAGAGUGCGUAGGUGGCAUAUUAAGUCUGGUGUGAAAUGCAGAGGCUCAACUUCUGUACGGCACUGGAUACUGGUAAGCUUGAAUGCGGUAGAGGUAAACGGAAUUCCUGGUGUAGCGGUGAAAUGCGUAGAUAUCAGGAGGAACACCAGUGGCGAAGGCGGUUUGCUGGACCGUAAUUGACACUGAGGAACGAAAGCGGGGGUAGCAAAUGGGAUUAGAUACCCCGGUAGUC